UCACAUUUAAAACUCAUGGAACACAAAGUCAUCACUCUGAUAAAGAAAGAGCUGAAGAGGUUUAGGAAGCUCCUGAGUCCAGAUUACCCAGCAUGCACUGAGAGGGAGGUGGAGGAUGAGGAGGAUCUGCACAGUGUCAGAGAUGGAGCGCUGAAGAUCACACUGCACGUCCUGAAGAACAUGAACCACACAGAUCUCGCUAACACACUGCACAACAAACUCGCCUCUGUGUAUCAGCCAAAGUUGAAGUCCAAGCUGAGAGAGAAGUUUAAAAGAAUUAAUGAAGGAAUCUCACAGCAUGGAAGCUCAGCACUUCUGAAUGAGAUCUACACUGAGCUCUACAUCACAGAGGGUUGGAGUGGAGACGUCAAUAAUGAACAUGAGGUGAGACAGAUUGAGGCAGCGUCCAGGAGACCAGCAACACAGGAGAAACCCAUCAAAUGUAAUGAGAUCUUUAAAGACAAGUCCAUCAGAACUGUGCUGACUAAAGGAGUUGCUGGAAUUGGAAAAACAGUCUCUGUGCAGAAGUUCAUUCUGGACUGGGCUGAAGGAGAAGUAAAUCAGGACGUCACCUUCAUGUUUCCACUUCCCUUUAGAGAGCUGAAUCUGAUGAAGCAGCAAAAUCUCAGUCUGAUGAAACUUCUUCAUCACUUUUUCCCAGAAAUAAGAAAACUAGAAUCAAUAGACUGUGACUUCUACAAAGUGGUGUUGAUUUUUGAUGGUCUGCAUGAGUGUCGACUUCCUCUAAAUUUCCAGAAGAAUGAGAGAUUGUGUGAUGUGACAGAGUCAGCCUCAGUGGAUGUACUGCUGACGAACCUCAUCAAGGGGAAUCUGCUUCCCUCUGCUCUCCUCUGGAUAACCACAAGACCAGGAGCAGCCAAUCAGAUCCCUCAAGGCCUUACAGAGUGAGAAUGGACACCUGGACCUGUUCCUCCACUUCCUUCUGGGUCUCUCACUGGAGACCAAUCAAACUCUUUUACGAGACUUAAUGCCACAGACAGGAAGCAGAUCUCACAGCAAACAGGAAACGGUGAAGUACAUCAAGGAGAAGAUCAGGGAGAAUCCAUCUCCAGAGAAAUCCAUCAAUCUGUUCCACUGUCUGAAUGAACUGAAUGAUCAUUCUCUAGUGCAGGAAGUACAAACUUACCUGAACAGAGGAGGUUACAGUCGUCUCAGUGGAACCAGACUCUCUCCUGCUCAGUGGUCAGCUCUGGUGUUUGUGUUACUGACCUCAGAACAGGAGCUGGAUGUGUUUGAUUUGAGGAAAUAUGAUCCAUCACAUGAAUGUCUUCUGAGGCUGCUGCCAGUGGUCAAAGCCUCCAGAAAAGCUGAUCUGUGUCGGUGUGAUCUGACAGAGGAAAGCUGUAGAGUUCUGUCCUGCAAGAUUCAGGAGUGAAUCUGCUCUCUGAUGGACUGAAGAAUCCACACUGUACACUGGAGAUACUGAGAGAUAUUAUUGAUGUGAGGAACAAAGCUGAGGUCAGAGUCGACUAGCUGUAGAGUUCUGUCCUCAGUUCUCAGCUCAAACUCCUCCAGUCUGAGAGAACUGGACCUGAGUAACAAUAAACUGCAGGAUUCAGGAGUGAAGCUGCUCUCUGAUGUACUGAAGAAUCCACACUGUACACUGGAGAAACUGAGGAUGUGGUACUGCAGUAUUACAGAUAAAGGUUGUGCUGCUCUGGCUUCAGCUCUGAGGUCAAACUCCUCAUCACAUCUGAGAGAACUGGAUCUGUACUAUAAUAAUCCAGGAGAAUCAGGAGUGAAGCUGCUCUCUGAUCUACUGAAGGAUCCACACUGUAAACUGGAGACACUACACAUUAACCAUAAGACACUCACCAGGUCUGGUUUAUGACAGGAGUCUCUCCUCAGACCUUUUUUCCAGGAUAAAGCAGUUAUGGUGGUGAAGCGUUAGAACACGUCCCACAUUUCCAGCAGUUUGGGAGCUGAAUCAUUCAUAUUCAGAUGUAGAAGAUCCAUAACAAUAACUGUGACUGAUCACAUCCUUUUAUCCUCUCAGCUACAACUUCACACUUUAACAUCUUUUACAAUCCAAAGUCAAAUCCUUCAGCAUCUACACACAACACAGAGAUAUCAUCACAUCAUCACACUGAUUACACAAAUACACAUCCAUGUGUUACAGAUGUUUAGAGAUUAUUUUUACCUCUUUACUUAUGUCGCUUUGUAGAAGCCAACAUUCUGUUUUCCUAUUUAAGUUUAGACAAAAAUGUAUAAAAUUUAAUGCGGCCUAGGGCUUUCAAGCCACAUGCACCAAAUUCGGAUAUGUUUUAGUCCCUGGUCUGAGGUUUGUUGUUCUUACUUUUCUAAGCGAUCCGAGUACCGGUACUUCCGGUACCGGGUCUCAAAUUGGCCUUUUUUCCCAUAGACUCCCAUUAUAUACUUUGGAGGUUUAUAACUCGGCACACUUUUGAACUAUCUAUACCAAACUCGGCCAAACUCUGAACAAAGUUUUAAGUUGGUGUACCGACUAGUCUUUUGGUUGUGCCGCAGCCCCGCCCCCAAAAUAUGCAAAAUCAAAAAACUUUUUAGAACAUGGACAUGUGACAUAUCAAAACACUCAGAACAAUGAGGGCAAUUCUGAUGACGUCACAUGACGUCACGUGAUGCACGUGAAAAUAAAAAACUUUGCACAACAUGGGCAUGUGAUAUAUCAAAACACUCAGCCCAAUGAGGGGAACUUCCUCAGGAAAAUGGUGGCGCCUCUCAGCGAACUUUUAUUUCAAAACGACCUUCGAACGUUUUCAGUGGAUUUACUGCUAGUUUUCCCCGGAAGGAGGAAAAAGAAAUUGUGAGUGAGCGGAAGUUGAAACUGUUUUUUUCUGUUUUUCCCCACAUUAUUCUGUCAAUACGGCAGAAGAAGGCCUGGACUGUUGCAUCUAAAUUUCAUUCAUUCUGGACGAUUGUUUUUUUCCCCCCUUUUUAAUUCAGACUGGUAUUUGAAGAAACUACUGAACCUAUUGGUGUUUGAACUACAUAUUGACAGUUGAAUUGGGUUUUUUUUCCCUUUUGUCAUUUAUUCAGUCUUGAUUUAAAGAUGAUGUCUUUUGGGUGAUACAUUUGAAAUGUUUUUGCAAUAUUUUUAUUUAUUGUUGAAUUAAAUUACACAUUCAAAGUUAAA